rnacentral:tRNA from 1 species
GCUCCCAUGGCAUAGUGGUCACUGCACUUGCCUUGUACGUGGGAGACCUGGGUUCAAUUCCCGGCAGGGUCA